rnacentral:rRNA from 1 species
GUGACAUACCACUUGUUGCCUCGGCGGAUCAGCCCGCUCCCGGUAAAACGGGACGGCCCGCCAGAGGACCCCUAAACUCUGUUUCUAUAUGUAACUUCUGAGUAAAACCAUAAAUAAAUCAAAACUUUCAACAACGGAUCUCUUGGUUCUGGCAUCGAUGAAGAACGCAGCAAAAUGCGAUAAGUAAUGUGAAUUGCAGAAUUCAGUGAAUCAUCGAAUCUUUGAACGCACAUUGCGCCUGCCAGUAUUCUGGCGGGCAUGCCUGUUCGAGCGUCAUUUCAACCCUCAAGCACAGCUUGGUGUUGGGACUCGCGUUAAUUCGCGUUCCCCAAAUUGAUUGGCGGUCACGUCGAGCUUCCAUAGCGUAGUAGUAAAACCCUCGUUACUGGUAAUCGUCGCGGCCACGCCGUUAAACCCCAACUUCUGAAUGUUGACCUCGGAUCAGGUAGGAAUACCCGCUGAACUUAAGCAUAU